rnacentral:tRNA from 1 species
GCGAGGGUAGUUUAGUCCGGUCUAGAAUGGCUGGUUGUGGUCCGGCCGACCCCAGUUCAAAUCUGGGCCCUUGCU